rnacentral:rRNA from 1 species
GGGGAAUUUUGGACAAUGGGCGAAAGCCUGAUCCAGCCAUGCCGCGUGUCUGAAGAAGGCCUUCGGGUUGUAAAGGACUUUUGUCAGGGAGGAAAUCCCUAGCGUUAAUACCGCUGGGGGAUGACAGUACCUGAAGAAUAAGCACCGGCUAACUACGUGCCAGCAGCCGCGGUAAUACGUAGGGUGCGAGCGUUAAUCGGAAUUACUGGGCGUAAAGCGUGCGCAGGCGGUUUGAUAAGCCAGAUGUGAAAUCCCCGAGCUCAACUUGGGAACUGCGUUUGGAACUGUCAGACUAGAGUGCGUCAGAGGGGGGUGGAAUUCCGCGUGUAGCAGUGAAAUGCGUAGAGAUGCGGAGGAACACCGAUGGCGAAGGCAGCCCCCUGGGAUGACACUGACGCUCAUGCACGAAAGCGUGGGGAGCAAAC